rnacentral:lncRNA from 1 species
GAAGAUGGAUAAACAGUGAGAAAAGAUUGAGAAAUUGCACAACUGUUGAACAGCCGGAAGAAAGUGUGACGCCUCAGUUACAGACUGAAGUCUGAUGCAGCAGUGGACAAAUUAUGAGAUUUGGUGGCAAUUUGUACAAUUCAUUCAUGGUGGUGCCAACCAACAUGUUGUAUCUAUCGUCAGUGUGUGCAUUUGCUUCCUUCAGAGCUUAGGUACAGGUUGAAUUACUUCAACCGAGCUACAUUUUUCCUCCUUAAAAGCAGUGACUGCUUCAACUGCUUGGUAGCUACAUUUGCAGAGAAAAACAGAGAAGCAAUGCGCAGGAACACCUCCACUACUCAUCAAAAGUAGUGAAAUCAAGUUGAGUUGAUCCCAUCUCAGCCGUGCUAGUUCCAAAAUUGCCCAUCAAGCAUGUGGACUUGAUAUAAGCAUUUUCCAGGAAACUAUCUACUGAACUCUGCAAACCUUUUCCCUUCCUUCUAGUCUUUUAGGGCAUGGCUAUUUCAGCCCAAGCUAAAAAAACUCAUGUCUAAGGCCGGCCUAGUCCUUCUACUUCUGAAGAUGCCUAGACCAUAUUCCUAGAGUACCGAAAUAACAAGCAAUGCAAUGGUUGCUUCAUGGGUAGUAAGUAGCAAGAUGGAAUUCUAAGUAACAACAAUGGAUAUAUAAUGUGACCAGAAACAUCAUGAAAGAGUAUGAACUAUUAACUGCCGAAUAAGCGACUCAUUUCAGAGAUGAAAAGUAGCACAUUUACAUGCUCCAGGAACUGACUGGAUGUUGCUUACCUUGUUGUCAGCUGCAGGGAACUGCUUGCCAUAAGGAGGAGCUGUGGGAGCAUCAUGUGGUUGUGGAACCCUCAAGCUAGAAAUGUG